AAUGGUUUGGAUGAAUGAAUCAAUUUUGAUUCCAUCCAUUCGAAUGUAGACAUUUUUUGUUUUACUGGCUAUACACUUGAUUCGCGAAAAAAAAGCAAAGCAGGUGCACGGAAAAAGAACCGCGCCACCACCACCAUCAUCAUCAUCAUUGGCAAUAUGAUUUCUAUACAUGUUGGAUCACGCCAUUACAAUUAAUCCAUUACAUUUGGUUUGUUCUAUAGCAGCCUGUGUUUGUAUGUGUGUGUGUCGAAUAAUUUGACCAUCCAAUACUACAUCAAUAUAUUGUGACUUAUUUAAACAUUUUGACACACGUGAUAAUUAUAUAUAUAUAGACAAGCCAUUUGUGUUGUCAUCUGUGUGGUCAUCAACCACCAGUUGUUGUUGGAACAUUUUCAUAUAUUUUAUGGCGUGGCAUACACGAGCGUGAACUCUGACUUGUUAAUCGUAAACAAUGGCAUUGCAGAUGUAAACAGGUGUUUUCCGCGAUAAAAUCCCGCAUGAUCAUCAUCAUCAUCAUUGAUGCAACAGAUUGAUACAGGAAUGGCAUCCCAUACAUGGUGAGCAAAUGUCUUUCGAAGUAAGAAAUUUAUUAUCAUCAUUUUUUUAAAUUGAAAAUCAAUUAUCAUUCAGACCAAAAAAAAAUCAAUGAUUUCCGAUUUGAUUUUUAAUUUCAAAUCAUAAUCAGACCAUUCAAUCAUGAACUGAUUGUGUUUGUGUGUGUGUGUGUGUGUGUAUCAACAAUUACAAAUUGAAAGUUUUCCAUAUUAAUUACAUAUAUAUGGCACAAUUAUUAUGUUUUUGGCAUUAAAUUGGAAACAAUUUACGACAAUCAA